UACGAAGGGGGGCUAGCGUUGCUCGGAAUCACUGGGCGUAAAGGCGCACGUGAGGCGGGCUUUCUAAGUCAGGGGGUGAAAUCCUGGAGCUCAACUCCAGAACUGCCUUUGAUACUGGAGAGCUUGAGUCCGGAAGAGGUGAGUGGAACUCGCAGUGUAGAGGUGAAAUUCGUAGAUAUUCGGAAGAACACCAGUGGCGAAGGCGGCUCACUGGUCCGGUACUGACGCUGAGGCACGAAAGCGUGGGGAGCAAACAGG
rnacentral:rRNA from 1 species